rnacentral:rRNA from 1 species
UACGUAGGGGGCAAGCGUUGUCCGGAUUUAUUGGGCGUAAAGAGCGUGUAGGCGGCUUGGUAGGUCCGCUGUGAAAACUCGAGGCUCAACCUCGAGAUGUCGGCGGAAACCACUUGGCUAGAGUCCGGAAGAGGAGAGUGGAAUUCCUGGUGUAGCGGUGAAAUGCGCAGAUAUCAGGAAGAACACCUAUGGCGAAGGCAGCUCUCUGGGACGGUACUGACGCUGAGACGGGAAAGCGUGGGGAGCGAACAGG